GCGUGGGGGUGAUGGGGAGAGGGGUGAAGAUGGGGAGGGGAAGGGAUGGAUGGGGGAGAAGAAAGUUAACGAAAAGGAAGAGAAGGGAAAGGAAGGAUUGAAGGGAGGAAAGGGGAGACGGGGGAGGGGAGGGGAAGACAGAGGAGGGGGAGGGGAAGGGAAGGGAUGGGAGAGAAGAAAGUUAACGAAAAGGAAGAGAAGGGAAAGGAAAGGGAAGGAGAGGGAAAGGAAUGAAGGGAGGAAAGAGAGAGAGAGAGAGAGAGAGAGAGAGAGAGAGAGAGAGAGAGAGAGAGAGAGAGAGAGAUUAAUACCACAUUAUAAUAUUCACAACUAUCACUCGCUCUAUCUUUCUCUCUUCCUAUCUUUAUCUUUCCUAUCCUUCAUCUCUCUACCUAUCUCUAUCUUUCUGCUGCCUUGUAUUUAAAAUGGAUAGUGAGGUUAGGUUAGGUUCACAGGAGCUGCCUUGUACAGCCAUAACAUAACUUCAUAAAUACUAAUAUAACGUUUAAAUACCCAGGCGUUACUCUAUGUAUUCUAAGAUAGUAAAACAAAUGUCUAAAGAUUGUAACGAAAAGUAAUAAAGAAAACGAAAUACUUGACAAAACCACUAUUUCAAGGCACCACUGAACUGAUUUCCAUUCAUUUAAAAUCAUCACGUUUUAAAAUGGUCAAGAAAACUCUAUCUAAGGAAAAUAUGUAACCAAGAAGCAACAAUUUUAGGGUAUAACUAAACUGAAAAUUGCGUAGUGAGGUUAGGUUAGGUUCACAGGAGCUGCCUUGUACAGCCAUAACAUAACAUAACAUGAUAAAUACCAAUAUGAUGUUUAAAUACCCAGGCGUUACUCUAUGUAUUCUAAGAGAGUAUAUACAUGUUAAAAUGGAUAGUGAGGUUAGGUUAGCCUUGUAUAGCCAUAACAUAACAUUACUUCAUAAAUACCAAUAUGAUGUUUAAAUACCCAAGCGUUACUUUAUGUAUUCUAAGAUAGUAUAUAUACAUGUUAAAAUGGAUAGUGAGGUUAGGUUAGCCUUGUACAGCCAUAACAUAACAUAACUUCAUAAAUACCAAUAUGAUGUUUAAAUACCCAGGCGUUACUCUAUGUAUUCUAAGAGAGUAUAUACAUGUUAAAAUGGAUAGUGAGGUUAGGUUAGCCUUGUAUAGCCAUAACAUAACAUAAUUUCAUAAAUACUAAUAUGACGUUUAACCCGGUAGCAGCGACGGGCCAAAUUUGUGGCUUUACCGUGUAGCAGCGACGGGCCACAUUUUUGCCAUGAUACAAACCCCCAAAAAAUAGACGAUGCAUAAACAGAUCACAAAAUGCGUUGAUAUAUAUUAUGUAGUAGUUUGCAAGAGCGAUGAUUUUUUUCUAUUGAAUUCGCUUCGAGGGGCCUUUAAGAAACAUGAUCCCCGCAGCUACCGAGUUAAAUACCCAGGCGUUAUUCUAUGUAUUCUAAGAUAGUAUAUACAUGUUAAAGAAGCAUUCAAUCACUUAUAGCAACACUCCACACUCCCAUGCUGCACAGACGCCAGGACAUGCUGCUCAAGGCUUAGGGUCAUGCUGCUCAAUGCUCUUAUACUAGGGUUGAGAGGAAGCGACAUGCUGGUGUGUGUGUGUGUGUGUGUGUGUGUGUGUGUGUGUGUGUGUGUGUGUGUG